GUUGCGGUUAAAAAGCUCGUAGUUGGAUUUCUGUGAGAGAUGGGCGGUCCGCACUUUGUGCGUGUAUCUGUUACAGCUCUCGCAUCCUCGUGAAGAACGGGUUGGGAUUAAUUUCUCGAUUCGGAAUUCACGACUUUUACUUUGAGGAAAUUAGAGUGUUCACGGCAAGCAAUCGCUUUGAAUACAUUAGCAUGGAAUAAUAAUAUAGGACCUUGGUACUAUUUUGUUGGUUUCUAGAACUAAGGUAAUGAUUAAUAGGGAUAAUUGGGGGCAUUCGUAUUAACGCGUCAGAGGUGGAAUUCUUGGAUUGCGUUACGACGAACUACUGCGAAAGCAUUUGCCAAGGAUGUUUUCAUUGAUCAAGAACGUAAGUAUGGGGAUCGAAGACGAUUAGAUACCGUCGUAGUCUAUACCAUAAACUAUGCCAGUUAGAGAUUGGGCGUCGUAUUUUCUAUGACUCGCUCAGCACCUUAUGAGAAAUCAAAAUCUUUGGGUUCCGGGGGGAGUAUGGUCGCAAGGCUGAAACU
rnacentral:rRNA from 1 species